UGAAAGGGGUCUGAAUACUUUCCGUACCCACUCUAUGUAUAUAUGUGUAUGUAUGUACACACAUAAUCAUAUAGUGUACUUAACAUAUUUACCCGUUGGUCACAUGUUCAAUCAGAGAGCAGCAACCAAGUUAGAAAACAUGACGACGAUGUGCAUGUUAUCAGUUGAAAGCUCGAGGUGAUGCCAUAUGUUAUAAGGGUUGCGUGCGUGCGUGUGCGUGUGUGUGUGUGUGUGUGUGUGUUUGCAGGGCAGGAAGUCGGUUCGAUAUGGAGACUUCCAGUUCUGUGACCAGGCCAAGUCUGUUAUAGUGAGGAACACCAGCCGUCAGUCCAAACCUCUCAGGGUUCAGGUGAUGCACUCGUCUGUUGUUGCUCAUCAGUGCUUUGCUCUGAGGGCUCUCAGCUGGUUGGGUCAGAUCAUUCAGUACUCUGAAGGCCUGAGGAGGAUCCUGUGUGAGGUCGGUCUGCAGAACGGUCCAGAAGGAGAGUACUCGUCUCUGGUGGACAAGCUGAUGCUCAACGACUCCAAGAUGUGGAAAGGUGACUACAUAUAUACUUUGUAUAUAUAAGUAGUAUACAGGUGCUGGUCAUAUAAUUAGAAUAUCAUCAAAAAGUUGAUUUAUUUCACUAAUUCCAUUCAAA